GUCACUGAGCUCUUUAGUAAGGCCAUUCAACUGCCAUUGUUUGCCUAUGGACUUUGCUCUACGGGUGUGGCUGAAAUAGGGGUGUCCACAUACUUUUGUAUAUUUAGUGUGUAAUGGCUGUGUUUGUGUGUUCAUUUCUUCAAUGUCUUCAGAUCAUAGGGGACUCUGUUAUGAGGAGAUUACAGCUGAACUGAUGCCCCCCACCAUGUUGCCUGAGCUGCAGCUCCUCAAUAAGGUCAAAUGAAAUGUAAACAUGCUACAAAGUCAUUCUGCUAAGCAGGAUGGUCCAUGUUAAAAUGGAGAUUUGUUAGAAAGUGAGUAAUGCAAUGUGUCCAUGUAUGCAAUUGAUACGUUUUUCUCCCUUCCUCUUUACAAUACAGUACAGAGAAAGGGCAGUUAGGAUGAUCAAACUCCGCUAUUUCAAGAAAAUCAUAGGAUCUUUUUCCUAUUGUUUUCAAACUAAAUGUUUAAAGAUGAAUGGCUGACCUACUUGUUUUAAUGCGGUUACAGAUUCAAGUAAAAGGACCAUUGAUACUGGAAACUGUCCAUAGACCUGAAGUAAAGGAACUCCACAUCUUGAGUCCAUUCUGUCUAGAGAUGGGGUUCUGUAUCUGAAGCUAGGGCCCUAUAAGGUCGACCUUCUGGACUGGAAUGAUCUAUUAUCCCCCGUCGUCGUCAACAGGAGCUCAGAAGUCCGCACAUUCAAGGAAGUUCAUCGUUCCCUGAGCUCCUGUUGAAGUUGUCAGCUGUGCAUCCCUGUACAAGCCUUGCUGCGCCUGGGCCCUCUCCUCAUGGGGACUGCAAGCUUCAGGACUGGACAACAGGCCUGUUGAAAUUACCUGACCUUUGACCUCUAACCAUGGUCUCCUACUUUACCUUGGUCUUGACCCAGAAGGGUCCCUCUGCCUGCACUGCUUGUUGCAGCUCACAAGAAAUGGACCUGAUAUUAUAUUAAAUAUCAUUGUAAAAGCUUUCUUGAUACAGAUUGUAUGUCAAA